CCUACGGGUGGCAGCAGUAGGGAAUCUUCCACAAUGGGCGAAAGCCUGAUGGAGCAACGCCGCGUGGGGGAAGAAGGUCUUCGGAUCGUAAACCCCUGUUGAUAGAGAAGAACGUGCGUGAGAGUAACUGUUCACGUUUCGACGGUAUCUAACCAGAAAGCCACGGCUAACUACUUGCCAGCAGCCGCGGUCAUACGUAGGUGGCAAGCGUUAUCCGGAAUUAUUGGGCGUAAAGGGAACGCAGGCGGUCAGUUAAGUCUGAUGUGAAAGCCUUCGGCUUAACCGGAGUAGUGCAUUGGAAACUGGGAGACUUGAGUGAAGAAGAGGAGAGUGGAACUCCAUGUGUAGCGGUGAAAUGCGUAGAUAUAUGGAAGAACACCAGUGGCGAAAGCGGCUCUCUGGUCUGUAACUGACGCUGAGGUUCGAAAGCGUGGGUAGCAAACAGGAUUAGAUACCCGAGUAGUC
rnacentral:rRNA from 1 species